rnacentral:rRNA from 1 species
CUGGCGGCGUGCUUAACACAUGCAAGUCGAACGAAGUGGCUUCUUGCUGCAAGAAAGUUGACUUAGUGGCGGACGGGUGAGUAACGCGUGGGUAACCUGCCUCAUACAGGGGGAUAACAGUUGGAAACGACUGCUAAGACCGCAUAACCCGCUAGUGUCGCAUGACACGGACGGAAAAUGUUUAUAGGUAUGAGAUGGGCCCGCGUCUGAUUAGCUAGUUGGUAAGGUAACGGCUUACCAAGGCGACGAUCAGUAGCCGACUUGAGAGAGUGAUCGGCCACAUUGGGACUGAGACACGGCCCAAACUCCUACGGGAGGCAGCAGUGGGGAAUAUUGGACAAUGGGGGAAACCCUGAUCCAGCCGACGCCGCGUGAGUGAAGAAGUAUUUCGGUAUGUAAAGCUCUAUCAGCAGGGAAGAUAAUGACAGUACCUGACUAAGAAGCCCCGGCUAACUACGUGCCAGCCGCCGC